rnacentral:rRNA from 1 species
UACGUAGGGGGCAAGCGUUGUCCGGAUUUAUUGGGCGUAAAGAGCUCGUAGGCGCUUGUCGCGUCGGUUGUGAAAGCCCGGGGCUUAACCCCGGGUCUGCAGUCGAUACGGGCAGGCUAGAGUUCGGUAGGGGAGAUCGGAAUUCCUGGUGUAGCGGUGAAAUGCGCAGAUAUCAGGAGGAACACCGGUGGCGAAGGCGGAUCUCUGGGCCGAUACUGACGCUGAGACGCGAAGCGUGGGGAGCGAACAGG